UACGUAGGGUGCGAGCGUUGUCCGGAAUUACUGGGCGUAAAGAGCUCGUAGGCGGUUUGUCGCGUCGUCCGUGAAAACUUGGGGCUCAACCCCAAGCUUGCGGGCGAUACGGGCAGACUUGAGUACUGCAGGGGAGGACUGGAAUUCCUGGUGUAGCGGUGGAAUGCGCAGAUAUCAGGAGGAACACCGGUGGCGAAGGCGGGUCUCUGGGCAGUAACUGACGCUGAGGAGCGAAAGCGUGGGGAGCGAACAGG
rnacentral:rRNA from 1 species